rnacentral:rRNA from 1 species
GACGUAGGGCGCGAGCGUUGUCCGGAUUUAUUGGGCGUAAAGAGCUCGUAGGCGGCUUGUCGCGUCGUCCGUGAAAACCUGCAGCUCAACUGCAGGCUUGCGGGCGAUACGGGCAGGCUAGAGUUCGGUAGGGGAGACUGGAAUUCCUGGUGUAGCGGUGAAAUGCGUAGAUAUCCGGAGGAACACCAGUGGCGAAGGCGACUUUCUGGCCUGUUCUUGACGCUGAGGCGCGAAAGCUAGGGGAGCAAACGGG